GAGACAUUCAAACCCCACCUGGACACGUUCCUGUGGGACCUGCUGUGGGUGGACCUGCUCUGGCAGGGGGUUGGACUGGAUGAUCUCCAGAGGUCCCUUCCAACCCCAUGGGGUUCUGUGAUUCUGUGCUGCUGUCAGGGCACUCUCUGAGCAGGGGCUGAUGCUCUUUGUUUUCAUUUCUUGGACCCUGCUUCAGGACUUCAGCCUGCGUGGGAGCUGGGAUGCAGCAGCACCUGGGAGCUCCCAGAAACCGGUGAGAGAAGGAAAUGCCCAGUGGCAGCAGGAGCCGUCCCGGGAGCAGGUAGGGCCGACGAGACGUAUGUGUGUGGGGAGUCCUCUUUUUCCAGUGGGUUGUCCCUUGGACUGGCCCCACAUCCAGGCGGUGGGGAUGCCGUCCCUGCUGAGCAGGCUGUUGGCCAUCAGCUGUCCCAGCGGCUGGACCGUCUGCAGAACGAGCUGGAGCCGAUCAAGGCUAUGCUUGAAACCAUUGCCCGGAUGGUGUCCUCCAUGUGGGCUCAGCUCAGAGCAGCAGGAAUCCUUCCAGAAGAUACAGGAGUGGAGGAGAGCGGAGAUGCCAGGAGAGCCUGACAAGCUGGCACAUGGGGGGGGACUCACAAGGGCCACUCGUCCGUCUGCUGUGCCAGCUACUUGUGGGGCUCUUGAAUGAAUGAAUCUUUGCAUCCCUUAUAUUUGAAAUAAAGGUGUCCUUUUCUCCA
rnacentral:lncRNA from 1 species